ACUGCUUUUGAUCUCUGAAACUUUUUGGCACAAACCUGUUGAUAAACAAUUCCACAAAUUGGGUCCAAGAUAAUCCCUCAAUAUGAGGUAGUACGUAGUCUGUCAUCAACUGUCUUGGCACUAGCCCUAAUACAUGUUGCACACUCUCUAUAAGCCUCAUAUCAGUCAACUACAACUUUAUCCUUGCCUGUUUGCAGGAAUCCAAAAAUCGAUAAGCAUCAUCUGACACAUCAUAAGUA
rnacentral:misc_RNA from 1 species